GUGUGUAUAAGUUCAAUGCAUGAAUUGCCAUUUAAGCAGGAAGUAUUUGCUUACAAGGAACUGCCCAAUGGUCAGGUUUCCCGAAAGCUUCAGUAAUGUGAUCCCUCCCAGCCGCCAGCAUGAAUGGGAUGUCCCAGUGCAAUAUGAGUCAGGGCUGGUCUAAUCAGACUUAAUUCUUCAUGUUCAAUCCAUUAGGUCAGUGAACUAGUUUAGUGUAAAGUUGAUCUCUCUCUGAACUUCCCUCACUGGAGCAGGAGGGACUUCUGCUCUGUAAUGGAAGAUCUUGGAAAGUAUGCAGAUUAUUUAUGAGGACUGUGCAUUAUUUAUGAGGACAAAGCAUCAUUUCUCAUUUUCUUUCUGUUUAACUUGAAGUACUAAAAUAACUAUAAAGCCCCUUUCACAAUGCGAUUCUGGGAAAUACACGGGUAAUGUGUCCUGGCAAUUGUUCCCGGGUCGCUAGAUAUUUUCCCCUUUCACACUGCCAGUGAUUACCCGGAAUAUGUUUGUGCACAACCAGGGUCCCCGCGGGUCCUUAAAAAGUCUUGAAAUGUCUUAAAUACAAUUUUCGAUUUUUAAGGUCUGAAAAUGUCUUGAAUCCUGGAAUUUUCCAUAUGAAUGUCUUAAAUUUCAUGUGGGAUCUUAAAUUUCAUGUCCGACUCGUCAUUUUUAUUUAUUUUUUCAACCGCAAUUUGACCAGCGUAACAUUUGGUGGCAGCGCUUCGUGGGUGCAACCUGCAUCAUUCCAUAGGCGACAUACGAGUAAGUGAUUGAUGAACCCGUUGCGCUGAUGGUUCGCCACCACGGCAGUUUGCGAAAUCGCAAGCAUGGGCAAAGACGAUAAAGCUGUGGACAAGAACACGAUUGUCAGGUCUCGCUAUCUUGGUUCUCAGUUUUGAGCCCCUCAACGGCAGAAGACUUGCUGUAGCACUUUAAGGAGGGCACCAAGGAACUUAAUUUAAGGAACAUGCUUUCUGUGUCAAUGGAUGUAUCCACAGUAAAUUGGAAAGUCAUGGAUCUCCUACAACUGGAACAUGCAAUACAUUUCUGAUCCUGAUCUUUCCUACAAUUGUCUGUCAUUCAUUAGGUCUAUGCAUAGAUUAUUGAAUGUGCUUGCAUUUAUCUGUGUCUGAAAUGACAUAGAAAACACUAAUCAGACCCUGAACAACAUUUUCUUGGGGGAGAACCCCCAAACCCAGCUCAAGGCUAUUAGGCAGCAACAUUUAACCAUAAUUUAGAUCAAGUAUGAUGAAAUGGGCUUUUGUAAUGUCCUGGGGCUGUCUUCCAUGUCUUUUUCAAACUGCUAUGAGGGGCCAGAAUUUAGAAAUUACCUGAAGUACCUUAAAGGCUGAUAGUUUAAACAUAGUCAACCAUGUCAGGGUUGUAAGGUCAAUCAGCACUUGGUAUAAAAGUUUUCGCGCCCCUUUGACCUGUCUUGAGCGUGGUUGUGAUGAGUUGUGCCACACUAAUGCUUCGCCACAUCAAUCUGUGUUGUCGGACUGAACAUUUGCCCUUUUUUUUUGGUUUAGAUAAAGUCUUAAAUUUUCCUUUUAGAGGACUUAAAAAGGUCUUAAAAGUCAUUAAAUUUGCUGUUAAAAAAUGUGAAGAUACCCUGACAACCCGUAAAGGUCCCGUUAAGACAUGUGACAUCAGGAUGUUACGUGUUAUAUACGAUUUGAAAAUGCUAGUCACGAUCUCAGCUUCAGCGUGGAAAAUGAGGAACUGAUUGAUCUCUGCUUCCUUACAGUUUGCACUUAUUUUUUACGUCACGAACGUUGAACGUUGCCUUCAAAACACCCGGUAAAAGAGUCACGCGAUAAUGUGCUUCAUCACUACGACACACCCUUUACGGCAUUAGUUCUGGCUUUUGUUCACACAGCGCUCAUUCUGGGACUGAACCCAGCAAUGUUACUAGGUCCCAGACCUGGGAUCAAUCCCAGAAUCAAUCCCGGGAUGUUCUUGCUUUCACACCGAAGGCGACCUGGCAAUGUUCCGACAAUUUUCUGGGUCCGACAUGCAGUGUGAAAGGGGCUUAACUGAAAUAAAAAUUCAAAACUAUAGACAUAAAAAAA